rnacentral:rRNA from 1 species
GAAUAUUGCGCAAUGGGGGGAACCCUGACGCAGCAACGCCGCGUGAGUGAAGAAGGCCUUCGGGUCGUAAAACUCUGUCAUUGGGGAAGAAAAAAAUGACGGUACCCAAUGAGGAAGCCCCGGCUAACUACGUGCCAGCAGCCGCGGUAAUACGUAGGGGGCAAGCGUUGUCCGGAAUUACUGGGCGUAAAGGGUGCGUAGGCGGCCUAAUAAGUCAGGUGUGAAAUACCAGUGCUUAACACUGGAAUUGCAUUUGAAACUGUGUAGCUUGAGUGCAGGAGAGGAAAGUGGAAUUCCUAGUGUAGCGGUGAAAUGCGUAGAGAUUAGGAGGAACACCAGUGGCGAAGGCGACUUUCUGGACUGUAACUGACGCUGAGGUACGAAAGCGUGGGUAGCGAAC